rnacentral:rRNA from 1 species
UACGAAGGGGGCUAGCGUUGUUCGGAUUCACUGGGCGUAAAGGGUGCGUAGGUGGUGAGGUAAGUUUGAUGUGAAAUCUCCGGGCUCAACCCGGAAAUGGCAUUGAAUACUAUCUCGCUAGAGAGUCGGAGGGGGGACUGGAAUACUUGGUGUAGCAGUGAAAUGCGUAGAUAUCAAGUGGAACACCAGUGGCGAAGGCGAGUCCCUGGACGACUUCUGACACUGAGGCACGAAAGCUAGGGGAGCAAACAGG